AGCGAACGCUGGCGGCAGGCCUAAUACAUGCAAGUCGAACGGAUCCUUCGGGAUUAGUGGCGGACGGGUGAGUAACACGUGGGAACGUGCCCUUUGGUUCGGAACAACUCAGGGAAACUUGAGCUAAUACCGGAUAAGCCCUUCGGGGGAAAGGAUUUAUCGCCAUUGGAGCGGCCCGCGUCUGAUUAGCUAGUUGGUGGGGUAAAGGCCUACCAAGGCGACGAUCAGUAGCUGGUCUGAGAGGANGAUCAGCCACACUGGGACUGAGACACGGCCCAGACUCCUACGGGAGGCAGCAGUAGGGAAUCUUGCGCAAUGGGCGAAAGCCUGACGCAGCCAUGCCGCGUGAAUGAUGAAGGUUCUUAGGAUUAGUAAAAUUCUUUCAGCGGGGACGAUAAUGGACGG
rnacentral:rRNA from 1 species